rnacentral:lncRNA from 1 species
GCAGUAGUAUUCAAAAUUGAGUCCGACAUCCAUUUCCAUAGUUAAAAUAGCAAAUGGCUUCUUAGGAAUUCUUGAGCUCUGUUUCUCAUUUCCUAAUCUCUAGAUGAAAAGAUAUUUGCAUCCUUCUUUCUGCUUUUCAUAUGUUCGACAAUUGAUGAACUUAGAUGCCUUCAAGCAAACAUGGAUAACUUGUUUUCUGCAU